rnacentral:rRNA from 2 species
AACUUUCAACAAUGGAUCUCUUGGCUCUCGCAUCGAUGAAGAACGCAGCGAAAUGCGAUAAGUAAUAUGAAUUGCAGAAUUCCGUGAAUCAUCAAAUUUUUGAACGCAAAUUGCACUUCUUGGUAUUCCGAGGAGUACACAUGCUUGAGGGUCAGU